GACGAACGCUGGCGGCGUGCCUAAUACAUGCAAGUUGAGCGAUGAAGAUUGGUGCUUGCUCCAAUUUGAAGAGCAGCGAACGGGUGAGUAACGCGUGGGGAAUCUGCCUUUGAGCGGGGGACAACAUUUGGAAACGAAUGCUAAUACCGCAUAACAACUUUAAACAUAAGUUUUAAGUUUGAAAGAUGCAAUUGCAUCACUCAAAGAUGAUCCCGCGUUGUAUUAGCUAGUUGGUGAGGUAAAGGCUCACCAAGGCGAUGAUACAUAGCCGACCUGAGAGGGUGAUCGGCCACAUGGGGACUGAGACACGGCCCAAACUCCUACGGGAGGGAGCAGUAGGGGAGCUUCGGCAAUGGACGAAAGUCUGGCCGAGCAACGCCGCGUGGGUGAAGAAGGUUUUCGGAUCGUAAAACUCUGUUGGUAGAGAAGAACGUUGGUGAGAGUGGAAAGCUCAUCAAGUGACGGUAACUACCCAGAAAGGGACGGCUAACUACGUG
rnacentral:rRNA from 1 species